UACGAAGGGGGCUAGCGUUGUUCGGAAUCACUGGGCGUAAAGCGCACGUAGGCGGAUUGUUAAGUCAGGGGUGAAAUCCCGAGGCUCAACCUCGGAACUGCCUUUGAUACUGGCAAUCUUCGAGUCCGGGAGAGGUGAGUGGAACUCCGAGCGUAGAGGUGAAAUUCGUAGAUAUUCGGAAGAACACCAGUGGCGAAGGCGGCUCACUGGCCCGGUACUGACGCUGAGGUGCGAAAGCGUGGGGAGCAAACAGG
rnacentral:rRNA from 1 species